AUACGGAGGAUCCGAGCGUUAUCCGGAUUUAUUGGGUUUAAAGGGUGCGCAGGCGGCCAUUUAAGUCAGCGGUUAAAUCGUGGGGCUCAACCCCAUUCUGCCGUUGAUACUGGGUGGCUUGAUUGCGGUCGAGGUUGGCGGAAUUCGUUGUGUAGCGGUGAAAUGCAUAGAUAUGACGAAGAACACCGAUUGCGUAGGCAGCUGACCAGACCGCAAAUGACGCUCAUGCACGAAAGUGCGGGGAACGAACAGGAUUAGAUACCCUGGUAGUCCGCACAGUAAACGAUGAAUACUUGUUUUCGGCGAUAUAAUGUCGGAGGCAAAGCGAAAGCGAUAAGUAUUCCACCUGGGGAGUACGCCGGCAACGGUGAAACUCAAAGGAAUUGACGGGG
rnacentral:rRNA from 1 species